rnacentral:rRNA from 1 species
GGCUCACCAAGGCGACGAUCCCUAGCUGGUCUGAGAGGAUGACCAGCCACACUGGAACUGAGACACGGUCCAGACUCCUACGGGAGGCAGCAGUGGGGAAUAUUGCACAAUGGGCGCAAGCCUGAUGCAGCCAUGCCGCGUGUAUGAAGAAGGCCUUCGGGUUGUAAAGUACUUUCAGCGGGGAGGAAGGUGUUGCGGUUAAUAACCGCAGCAAUUGACGUUACCCGCAGAAGAAGCACCGGCUAACUCCGUGCCAGCAGCCGCGGUAAUACGGAGGGUGCAAGCGUUAAUCGGAAUUACUGGGCGUAAAGCGCACGCAGGCGGUCUGUCAAGUCGGAUGUGAAAUCCCCGGGCUCAACCUGGGAACUGCAUUCGAAACUGGCAGGCUUGAGUCUUGUAGAGGGGGGUAGAAUUCCAGGUGUAGCGGUGAAAUGCGUAGAGAUCUGGAGGAAUACCGGUGGCGAAGGCGGCCCCCUGGACAAAGACUGACGCUCAGGUGCGAAAGCGUGGGGAGCAAACAGGAUUAGAUACCCUGGUAGUCCACGCCGUAAACGAUGUCUACUUGGAGGUUGUGCCCUUGAGGCGUGGCUUCCGGAGCUAACGCGUUAAGUAGACCGCCUGGGGAGUACGGCCGCAAGGUUAAAACUCAAAUGAAUUGACGGGGGCCCGCACAAGCGGUGGAGCAUGUGGUUUAAUUCGAUGCAACGCGAAGAACCUUACCUGGUCUUGACAUCCACAGAACUUUCCAGAGAUGGAUUGGUGCCUUCGGGAACUGUGAGACAGGUGCUGCAUGGCUGUCGUCAGCUCGUGUUGUGAAAUGUUGGGUUAAGUCCCGCAACGAGCGCAACCC